rnacentral:rRNA from 1 species
UUCGGCUGGACAGGUGACAGGUGCUGCAUGGCUGUCGUCAGCUCGUGUCGUGAGAUGUUGGGUUAAGUCCCGCAACGAGCGCAACCCUUGUCCUUAGUUGCCACCAUUCAGUUGGGCACUCUAAGGAGACUGCCGGUGUUAAACCGGAGGAAGGUGGGGAUGACGUCAAGUCCUCAUGGCCCUUAUAGGUGGGGCUACACACGUCAUACAAUGGAUGGUACAAAGGGUCGCCAACCCGCGAGGGGGAGCCAAUCCCAUAAAGCCAUUCGUAGUCCGGAUCGCAGUCUGCAACUCGACUGCGUGAAGUCGGAAUCGCUAGUAAUCGUGGAUCAGAAUGUCACGGUGAAUACGUUCCCGGGUCUU